rnacentral:rRNA from 1 species
UGGGGAAUUGUUCGCAAUGGGCGCAAGCCUGACGACGCAACGCCGCGUGGAGGAUGAAGUAUUUCGGUAUGUAAACUUCGAAAGAAUAGGAAGAAUAAAUGACGGUACUAUUUAUAAGGUCCGGCUAACUACGUGCCAGCAGCCGCGGUAAUACGUAGGGACCAAGCGUUGUUCGGAUUUACUGGGCGUAAAGGGCGCGUAGGCGGCUUGACAAGUCACUUGUGAAAUCUCUGGGCUUAACCCAGAACGGCCAAGUGAAACUGUCAUGCUAGAGUGCAGAAGGGGCAAUCGGAAUUCUUGGUGUAGCGGUGAAAUGCGUAGAUAUCAAGAGGAACACCUGAGGUGAAGACGGGUUGCUGGGCUGACACUGACGCUGAGGCGCGAAAGCCAGGGGAGCAAACGGGAUUAGAUACCCCUGUAGUCCCUGAGCGGGCUGGCAAGGCGCAU